rnacentral:rRNA from 1 species
GAUGAACGCUGGCGGCGUGCCUAAUACAUGCAAGUCGAGCGAACGGACGAGAAGCUUGCUUCUCUGAUGUUAGCGGCGGACGGGUGAGUAACACGUGGAUAACCUACCUAUAAGACUGGGAUAACUUCGGGAAACCGGAGCUAAUACCGGAUAAUAUUUUGAACCGCAUGGUUCAAAAGUGAAAGACGGUCUUGCUGUCACUUAUAGAUGGAUCCGCGCUGCAUUAGCUAGUUGGCAAGGUAACGGCUUACCAAGGCAACGAUGCAUAGCCGACCUGAGAGGGUGAUCGGCCACACUGGAACUGAGACACGGUCCAGACUCCUACGGGAGGCAGCAGUAGGGAAUCUUCCGCAAUGGGCGAAAGCCUGACGGAGCAACGCCGCGUGAGUGAUGAAGGUCUUCGGAUCGUAAAACUCUGUUAUUAGGGAAGAACAUAUGUGUAAGUAACUGUGCACAUCUUGACGGUACCUAAUCAGAAAGCCACGGCUAACUACGUGCCAGCAGCCGCGGUAAUACGUAGGUGGCAAGCGUUAUCCGGAAUUAUUGGGCGUAAAGCGCGCGUAGGCGGUUUUUUAAGUCUGAUGUGAAAGCCCACGGCUCAACCGUGGAGGGUCAUUGGAAACUGGAAAACUUGAGUGCAGAAGAGGAAAGUGGAAUUCCAUGUGUAGCGGUGAAAUGCGCAGAGAUAUGGAGGAACACCAGUGGCGAAGGCGACUUUCUGGUCUGUAACUGACGCUGAUGUGCGAAAGCGUGGGGAUCAAACAGGAUUAGAUACCCUGGUAGUCCACGCCGUAAACGAUGAGUGCUAAGUGUUAGGGGGUUUCCGCCCCUUAGUGCUGCAGCUAACGCAUUAAGCACUCCGCCUGGGGAGUACGACCGCAAGGUUGAAACUCAAAGGAAUUGACGGGGACCCGCACAAGCGGUGGAGCAUGUGGUUUAAUUCGAAGCAACGCGAAGAACCUUACCAAAUCUUGACAUCCUUUGACAACUCUAGAGAUAGAGCCUUCCCCUUCGGGGGACAAAGUGACAGGUGGUGCAUGGUUGUCGUCAGCUCGUGUCGUGAGAUGUUGGGUUAAGUCCCGCAACGAGCGCAACCCUUAAGCUUAGUUGCCAUCAUUAAGUUGGGCACUCUAAGUUGACUGCCGGUGACAAACCGGAGGAAGGUGGGGAUGACGUCAAAUCAUCGUGCCCCUUAUGAUUUGGGCUACACACGUGCUACAAUGGACAAUACAAAGGGCAGCGAAACCGCGAGGUCAAGCAAAUCCCAUAAAGUUGUUCUCAGUUCGGAUUGUAGUCUGCAACUCGACUACAUGAAGCUGGAAUCGCUAGUAAUCGUAGAUCAGCAUGCUACGGUGAAUACGUUCCCGGGUCU